rnacentral:rRNA from 1 species
CCUGGCGAACUGAAACAUCUUAGUAGCUAGAGGAAAAAAAGGCAAAAGUGAUUCCUGUAGUAGUAGCGAGCGAAAUGAGAGCAGCCUAAACCGUGAAAAUGGGGUUGUGGGAGAUCAAUACAAGCGUCGUGCUAAUAGGCGAAGCGGUUGAGUACUGCACCCUAGAUGGUGAGAGUCCAGUAGCCAAAAGCAUCACUGGCUUACACUGACCCGAGUAGCAUGGGGCACAUGGAAUCCCGUGUGAAUCAGCAAGGACCACCUUGUAAGGCUAAAUACUCUUGGGUGACCGAUAGCAAAGUAGUACUGUGAGGGAAAUGUGAAAAUAUCCCCCAUCAGGGAGUGAAAUAGAAUAUGAAACGGUGAGCCCUCAAGCAUUGGGAGGAGAAGUUGACCUCUGACCGCGUGCCUAUUGAAGAAUGAGCCGGCAACUCGUAUGCAGUGCCUUGGUUAAGGGAACCCAUCAGAGCCGUAGCGAAAGGGAGUUUUCAUAGGGCAAUUGUCAUUGCUUAUGGACCCGAACUUGGGUGAUCUAUCCAUGACCAAGAUGAAGCUUGGGUGAAACUAAGUGGAUGUCCAAACCGACUGAUAUUGAAGAAUCGGUGGAUUAGCCUUGUAAGAAGGUCAUUGUUUUUUGGCUAUUUGUUAUAUUGCUGCAUGGAUUUUUUCAAGGUCUUUUGAGAGAUUAGCCUUUCAAGAAUUUCAUUGUCAUUUUAGCUAUUAGGUUAGCCCUUUGUUUGGCCCUCCCGACUUUUAUAUCGG